GCAAGUCGAGCGGUAGAGAGAAGCUUGCAUCUCUUGAGAGCGGCGGACGGGUGAGUAAUGCCUAGGAAUCUGCCUGGUAGUGGGGGAUAACGUCCGGAAACGGACGCUAAUACCGCAUACGUCCUACGGGAGAAAGCAGGGGACCUUCGGGCCUUGCGCUAUCAGAUGAGCCUAGGUCGGAUUAGCUAGUUGGUGAGGUAAAGGCUCACCAAGGCGACGAUCCGUAACUGGUCUGAGAGGAUGAUCAGUCACACUGGAACUGAGACACGGUCCAGACUCCUACGGGAGGCAGCAGUGGGGAAUAUUGGACAAUGGGCGAAAGCCUGAUCCAGCCAUGCCGCGUGUGUGAAGAAGGUCUUCGGAUUGUAAAGCACUUUAAGUUGGGAGGAAGGGUACUUACCUAAUACGUGAGUAUUUUGACGUUACCGACAGAAUAAGCACCGGCUAACUCUGUGCCAGCAGCCGCGGUAAUACAGAGGGUGCAAGCGUUAAUCGGAAUUACUGGGCGUAAAGCGCGCGUAGGUGGUUCGUUAAGUUGGAUGUGAAAUCCCCGGGCUCAACCUGGGAACUGCAUCCAAAACUGGCGAGCUAGAGUAUGGUAGAGGGUGGUGGAAUUUCCUGUGUAGCGGUGAAAUGCGUAGAUAUAGGAAGGAACACCAGUGG
rnacentral:rRNA from 1 species